rnacentral:tRNA from 1 species
GCGCUGGUGGUGUAACACGUAGCAUCGCUUUCCGGAAAGCAGAAGGUGCGGGUUCGAAUCCCGCCUGGCACA